GCCCCACCAGACGCUCCGGCCAAUCAGAGCUUUCGUUGAAGAGUGCAGCGCCACCAAGCGAGUGCCAAAACAUCAUUAUCCCUUCUCCCCGAUACCUACUCGAAAAGCCUUAAGAAAGCCAGCAUCCUGUUUUUCAUCGAAUCUCGAUUCAGUAGACAGUUGACAGCAGCAUUUGAGAGUUCGAUUGUUGACUUUACGGAGCUGAUAUAGCCAAGAUGAAUGUGAAUGUUAAUAACCACGACAUUGUGAACUUCAGCAUGCUUUCAAGCAAUGGAAAUUUUAUAUGUCUCGCCGCAAAAAUGGAAAAUGAAACAUUUUUUGUUUGGAUUAAUCCUCCGGAGCUGUCUUCAACGACACCAAGAUUGUGGCGGAAUCUUGGAUAUGAAUGGCGUCAUGGCAAAUUGUACUGGAGAAAUAAACAACUGCCGACUCAAUCAUUAUCAAUGGCAUUAGGCACGUUUUUGGUAUUUCUUUCGGCCUCAGAGAGAGGAGUUAUACUCGUUGAUCAUUCUUCGGAAUCUGCAAUCAUAAACCUUCUUAAAGCCAUUCAAGACACGGAAUCAGCUGAUAUGUUUCGGAAUAUUAUUGUCGGCUUCGCAGAUUCUCUUUUGAUUUUAAGAGCCAAAUACCAUGAUCGGAAACACUUAAAUCAAUUCAGUUUGCCGAAUCUAUCAAAAGAUCUACUUGGGAAAGCAUAUACAGGAGCAAUCACCGACGUUUCAUGCUCUUUGGAUAUUAUGGCAGAGCUUACAACUCGAAUCAUAGAACCAUCUGACUACGAAGGAUUCAUUACAUCUUACGAAGAAGCCGUCAGUAAUGAAACUAUAGCAGAAGUAUAGACUAUAUCUGUUGGUUCUAAAACAUCGACGUUGUGAAAUCAAUAUUUUUGUAUUAUUGAUUGACGAAUAAAAUAUUAACUGGUCUAUAAAAUUGCGAUCUCUGAGUUUGGAUAUAUGAACUUAUUUUCAUGAUUACUCUCAGGUAUUGAAAAUUAUUUUUAAAAUUUAUUAUGUCAACUUGAAAAUCGAAAAUGAAAAUAACGAAAAUAUUAUUUCCUCGAGUUGCGCCGAAUUGAUUUUUUCAAUGAUAAAACAUCAAACGUUCUGAGAGUGAUAUGUAUGUAUUAUUGAUUGACAAAUAAAAUGUUAACUGCUCUAUAAAA